rnacentral:rRNA from 1 species
CGGACGGGUGAGUAACGCGUGGGUAACCUGCCCUGUACAGGGGGACAACAGCUGGAAACGGCUGCUAAUACCGCAUAAGCCUACAGUGCCGCAUGGUACAGCAGGAAAAACUCCGGUGGUACAGGAUGGGCCCGCGUCUGAUUAGUUAGUUGGCAGGGUAACGGCCUACCAAGACAACGAUCAGUAGCCGGCUUGAGAGAGUGGACGGCCACAUUGGGACUGAGACACGGCCCAAACUCCUACGGAAGGCAGCAG